GGGUGCGUAGCGCAGUGGUAGCGCGUAUGCUUUGCAUUCAUAAUCUUGUAUAAGGUCCAGGGUUCAAUCCCCUGCGCAUCCA